AUAGGGGAAAGGUAUAAAAAUAACAGAAAAUAGAACAUGGAUAAGAUUAUUCAGAGGAAGUAUGAAUAAAAAAUGAAAUACAAAUCACAACAAAAGGUUCCUGGGGACCCCAAUAACUAAGUGGCAGGGAAUUCUACACUGAAGACUGAGGCUGAGCAGUCACAAAGGCAGAAGCAGAACCUAGAGAAUGACAUCAUGGAGACAAAGGCAGCAAGAAGAAGGUGGAGUGACACAGGGUCAUCAGAUAAGUCAACGGAGUCAUGAGGAAAGGAUUCAAAAGAACCCAGUGACUUUUGACAAAUUAGCUAGCUGGCCUAAUUUUCACAAUGCCAGACAUAAGUGGCUGUACCAGUUUACAUUCCCAUCAACAGUGGAUUAAGGUUUACAAAUUAGUUAUGAGAAAAUACGUUAAUGGCAACAGCAUAAAAUUUUGGAAUGAAGACAAUUUUGAAUCCAAUCUGAGCUUCUUGUGAGGAGCAAUCAUAGGUUAAGUCAUUCAAUCCUUCUGAACCCCACAAAUUCAUCAGGAAGAGUUUCCAGGCAUGGAGGGUAUUGUGAAACUUGGGCAGUGUAUGUGCAGGUUUGUUUAUCCAUAAAGGCAGUCAUGUUUGCACUGCAGUUAUACUCUCCUGGGUCACAAUUCACUGUAUUACACUGAGUGAACACUUGUCAAGCCUCAGGAAAUGGGACCUAGAAUCUAAAAGUUAGUCUCAACAGGUAGCAACCAGAGAACUUCAGGGCUGUGAGGCAGGCAUAUUCUGCCAUGUGAACUAGAGAAAGUUUGUUUGCAGAGAAAGAAAAGAAGAAAACACUCCAAUGAGAGAGGCAACAAAACCUCUCCCUUCCUGAAGGCCAGCUUCAUUCCUAUCCAUGGGUCCUGCAGCUACCUCUGUAUUUCUGUAUUAUAGCAGAUUCUACUAUUUUUGCUCAGGCUAAUCUGAGUUGGUUCUGUGGCUCAGAACCACAAAAUCUAAAUGGCUUUUACCUGGUAUAAAAUAGUUAUGCAAAAAAACCUGAAUUCCUUAUAUUUUAAAGAGUCCAGUCCACACUCAGUAUAAUGGAUCAACUUCCUUGUGGGUCUAAGCUCCUGUCUGUUUUGUUUGAGAGUUAUCUCUCUUGAAGAGAGUGUCUUAAUUAUGGUAGAAAUUCAGCAAACAACUGAUUUAUGAAUUAAAUGAAUGAAUUCAUGAAAACAUCUGGAAAAGUAAACAUUCAAAAUUCAGUUUUUGUUUAAGUAAAAGGCUAUAUUUACUCAUUCAGAAAAUAGUUACUGAGCAUCACUUAUGUGCAAGGUACUGAGCUAAGUGCCAAAUUGGGCAAGGACUGUUCAAAGACCCUAGAGUACCAGAAAUGUAAGCUCCAGAAGUAAGUGUAACAGAAAAUAAAGUCAGGUAUUUCACUUGACUUUAAGGAGCUAAUAUCACCACCACAGUUUGGAGUGUAAUAUACUAAAAAAAUACACCUCAGUUUAGAGACAAUUCACUUGAGAAAUUUCCCAAUUCUACUUCUAGGCAACUGAACAUAAGGUGUUUUCCAGAGAAGAUUCUGUUUUCCAAAAUGCUCCAGCUUAAAAAUCCUUCAUUCCCGGAAAAGACCUUUUACAAAUUUCCUCCUUAAGGUCUACACAGGAAGGAAUCAGACCAACACUUUUCUGUGCAUUUUUGCCUCUUCACUUUGAAGCAGUCAAGAUUAAUGCCAAGAACACAAACUGAAGUCGAACAGAAUUAAAAUCUAAGCUGUAACCUUGAACGCACCUCUCUAAAUCUCAGUUACCUCUCAAGUAUAAAAUCAAGAUGCUCUUCCUUACUUUGUAACAUUACCACUGGAGGUUAGAGAUUACAAUUAUCAACCAGAAGGCACUCAGUUCCUGUCACACAUAGUAUCGUCACUGUUUCACUAGCAUCUUAGCAAACACUGCACUUGGCACCAGAGACUCCCUUUCUCACUUUGGCUCAAGUGUGGACAAAUAUUAAAUUCUUUUCCUCAUUUCUCUGGACUGAUAAAAGGAAGAAUUAUCAAAAUAUCUGUAAAAACUAAAAGAAAUAAGUGUGCAAACACCAUCAUACAGCCAUCUUUUGGAAUUCUGUUUCUAAGAUGAUCUGGUAUAGCUCAAAUUUCUUUCCUAAGUGAGCUAUCCUCUUACAACCUGAUAUAACUGUAAAAAUAAGCUGAGAGUUCUGCUUCCAACAAGACAGCAUGAGGAACUCUGCAGACCUGCUCCCCAAUGAAGUGGUGAAUACUGUGAAAGAAAAUAUGUUUCUGGAAAUGGUCCUAAGUGUAUACAGCAAAUGAAGAAACAUUUAUUUAAGAAAAUUUCCUAAAACUCAGUAGAAACAGAGAUCGUGGUAUGUGUUGGUGAAAUGGUGCUGCCUUAUCUGAGGUGCCAACUUAAGCCUCAGAUGCCAUCUUGGGCUCUGGUCCAGUUGCCAUCUUGUACAAUAAAUUUGGCCUCUCCAGAAUCCAGCCUAGCUUACUAGGAGUCAGGUGACCAAAUGACCCAACCACAAGCGUCAACUCCACCCCUACUCUAACGGGAAUUGCUGCUCCCACUUCCUUAUCCCUGCAAGGUUACAGCAAGGCCUGCUUUCCCACUCAGGCCUUCUCUCUUUUUGCUCUCUCUCGCCUUUUCCCUCCAGCCUGUCAUGUUUCUCCCCACCCAACAAUAACUUUUCCCCUUAGUCUGGUUGUUUGGUGUGUUUUGUGAUGGCCUUUCAGUGAGUGAAACAAAACUCAUUCCAUCCCUACCCCCUCACAGCUCACUGGGAUGGAAAUUCCACUCCAGAUUAGAGUAAUAAGAUUAGAGUAACAGGCCCCUCCCCAUCCAUCUCCCAGUUGACGGUAAUCUUUCCAGAAAAGACAGGGUAUCAUCCUAGCCCUAGGUAUCUGUAGGUGAGGCUAAGUAUUGGGAUGGAGUUGCCAACUAGUGAACAUAAAACUGAAUGGGCCAGAGAAAAAGCCACAGAAAAGAACUGUCCACAAUAGGCCGAUCUAUGCAGAAGCAAAGUGGAUUACUGGUUGCUUAGGGUUGGCAAAGGCAUGAUGGGUCAAGGGAGCAACAAAAAAAUGGUAUGGGGCUUCUUUUUGAGGCGAUAAAAAUGUUUUAAAAUUGACUGUGGUCUUGGUUCCACAGAUCUGUGACCAUACUAAAAACUAUAGAAUUAUACACUUUAAAUGGGUGAAUUUUACAUAUAUGACAAAACUGUUACUAAAAAAUUAGCACACUAUAAAGAAAAAACAAUGUGCUUGGGUUCUUCCAGUUUCUGGGUUUUUUGCUGAUUUACAAGCAGGAUCUACCAAAGCAGUUUAAAUGUUUUAUAUGACACACUCUGUUGUCUUAGAUACCAAAUCAUUUUUUGGAAGAAAACAGUCUUCCAACUCAGUUGCUCUCUUUGUCCAAUGAGCACAAUGAGGAACUUAACAACACUUCCUAAAGACUCUUAAGACUGGAACUAUUGUCAGGACUAUUGGUAAGGACUGCUUGGGGAACUUGUUCAUAAUACACAGGUAACUUAAACUUCAUGCCAGAAAGACUCAAUCAUAAGUUCACAACAGGGCCCAGAAAAAUAUAGGUUCACAACAGGGCCCAGAAAAAUACAGAAGUAAUUUUAAAAGUAUCCCAAAUCAUAUGAAUAUCCAUUCAGAUUUGGUGACCACUCACAGCACAAACAGGCCCACAUAUAUCCCCUUAUGAUUUACUUGAGCUGCCUUCCUUUCUACAACUCUGAGGAAUCAGGGGGGUUAAUAGACAGUCAAUGGAAAUUGGGGUGCAUUUCCUUAGGAACCUCCCAAUUUUACCAAGAGAAUAGCAAGGGAGUGGUGAUUCCAUCCUUCUGAGCUCACAGGUUACCUAUCCCACCCUUCUGGGUGGCUUUUUUGUUUUAUCAUGAGCAAGCCACACAGGUUGAAAGAUUACAAAUCAGGUAUGUUGAUGGGUUUUGUCCCCACCUUGUAAAUGAGUCAAUCUGAUUGUCAGGUUUUUUUUUUCCUUUUUUUCCCCCAAAAAUUAUGCUUAAAAACCCCACUGCCACCUACUAUUUAGGGUUUCUUCCUCUCCUGGAAGCCUCCCACCCAAGCCACUCUGGCUGGAGGUCUCUGACUCUAAUGAAUCAUGCUUUUAAAUCUCUGAAAGAACCGAGGCAAUAAUAUUCUCUCUGCUGAUGUUUCACCUGUAACAUCUCUAGCCCAGACACUAGUGAUUUUUCAAAAAUCAAAUUGACCUUUUACACAUUUUUUUUCUGAACAUAUCUUAAUUAUGCAAUAAUUAUAAUACAUUCACAAUAGAUACACACACUAUUCCUCCUAUACCAAAAAGUACAAAGACUGUGGACAGGGCUUGUUUUUUUAAAAAGCUUCUUUUCCUCUGGUAGAAGACACUGUUUGGCUGAUAGGUUUUUUUAAAAAAUGCUGAUUUCUCAGAUGACUUUUUAGUUUUUCAUGCGUUAAAGCGUUUUCCUAUAGGCAAAGUUUUAAAAAUUAAGCUAUUAAGCUAAGAAAGAAAUUCACUUCGGGACACAUUACAAAUG